UGUCUGACUCCAGCAAGUUGCC
rnacentral:piRNA from 1 species